rnacentral:rRNA from 1 species
UGGGGAAUUUUGCGCAAUGGGGGAAACCCUGACGCAGCAACGCCGCGUGGAGGAUGAAAUCCCUUGGGAUGUAAACUCCUUUCGAUCGGGACGAUUAUGACGGUACCGGAAGAAGAAGCCCCGGCUAACUUCGUGC